GUGUGUCACGUGGGACGGCGACGUCAGAAGGUCCUUUCGGAGAAGGGGGAACUAGCCGCUACCCUGUCACCACAGAGGGAGAACCUGGGCACAACUGCCCCACAGCUGGCCGAACGGCAUAUCCCAGGAAGAAGACGUUGUUUGCCAGGCUGCGACAUGGAGGCUCUGGGAGCUUUGUGACUUACUGGGAAGUGCCUCGGUUUCCCCAUGGUAACACUUGUGGAAUGAUGUAAUGGCUUGCCUCACAAUGACUGAAAUAACCACAGUUCCUACUGUUCACUCAAGUGGAGAUGCCCACUUAAAUUUAAGUGCGCCCAAAGCCAGUGAGCCAGGAUUUCACAUCUUCCUGUACCAUGCUUUGUUCAAGGCUGAUGGGGAUUACCUUGCAUUGCCUCCAGGAGAGUAUAUUGCAGAGGAGAUAUGCAUCACUGCUGCUAAAGCAUGUGGGGUGACACCUGUAUAUUAUACCCUGUUUGCUUUGAUGAAUGAGGCUGACCGAAUGUGGUAUCCUCCCAAUCAUACCUUUAUUGUGGAUGAAACAAGCAGGCAAAUCGUAAAAUUUCGACUGAGGUUUUAUUUCCCACACUGGUAUAGCAACGGAAGCAGCAGAGCGUUUCGUUAUGGAGUUGCAAGGGGAUCUGAAAGUCCAGUUCUUGAUGACUUUGUCAUGUCUUAUUUGUUUGCUCAGUGGCGAGAUGAUUUUCUGAAUGGCUGGAUAACAGUAUCCAUAACACAUGAAACGCAAGAGGAGUGCCUCGGAAUGGCUGUUCUUGAUAUGAUGCGUAUGGCCAGUGAAAAAGAUGAAAGCCCUAUUGCCAUAUACAAUGCUAACAGCUACAAAUCAUUUUUACCAAAGUGUAUUCGUGCCAAGAUCCAAGACUAUCAUAUUCUGACUCGCAAGAGAAUUAGAUACAGAUUCCGAAGUUUUAUUCAACAAUUUAGCCAAUGCAAAGCUACGGCCAGAGAUUUAAAACUGAAAUAUCUCAUAAACCUAGAAACCCUACAAUCAGCAUUUUACUCUGAACAAUUUGAAGUUAAAGAAACUUUCCGAGAUCCUUCAGGAGGAGAGGUUUUUGCAACUGUUGUGGUUAGUGCAAAUGAAGGAAUUCGCUAUUCGAGAAGCAGAGCCAAGGAAAAGAAUACAUUUGAUGAGCAGGACCUACAGACAUACUGUGAUUUUCCUGACAUCAUUGAUGUGAGCAUUAAACAAGCCAGCAAGGAUGAUUCCAGUGAAAGUAGAAUAGUGACUAUCCACAAGCACGACAACAAAUCUCUGGAGGUGGAAUUUUCAUCACUGAAGGAAGCUUUGUCCUUCGUGUCACUUAUUGAUGGCUAUUACAGAUUGACGGCAGAUGCACACCAUUACCUUUGCAAGGAAGUAGUGCCUCCCCGAGUAUUGGAAAGCAUUCAGAGUUAUUGCCAUGGGCCUGUUUCGAUGGAAUUUGCCAUUGAUAAGUUGAAAAGAGCAGGAAGCCAAAAAGGAGCUUUCAUUCUUCGCUGCAGCCCUAAGGAAUUUAACAAGUACUUCCUCACAUUUGCAGUAGAGCGUGCAAGUGUACCUGAAUAUAAACAUUGUUUGAUAACAAAGUCGGGGAAUGGAGAUUACAACCUUAGAGGGGCCAAGAAAAAUUUUGGCACACUAAAGGAUUUGUUAAACUGCUAUCAGAAAGAAACUGUCAGAUCUGAUGGCAUCAUUUUUCAGUUCACUCGAUGUUGCCCCCCUAAACCUAAAGAGAAAUCCAACUUGAUUAUCUUCAGGAGUAACAAAGUUUCAGACAUGCCUACGUCACCCUCCUUACAUCGUCACAAUAAUGUCAACCAGAUGGUCUUUCACAAGAUUAGGAGUGAAGACUUGACUUACGUAGAAAAUCUUGGGCAGGGUACCUUUACUAAGAUUUUUAGAGGAAAACGGGAAGAACUAGGAGACUACAAUCAGAUCCAUGAAACUGAAGUUCUUCUCAAAGUCCUUGAUAAAUCUCAUCGGAAUUAUUCGGAGUCAUUCUUUGAAGCAGCAAGUAUGAUGAGCCAGCUUUCAUACAGACACUUGAUUUUGAACUAUGGUGUUUGUGUAUGUGGAGACGAGAGUAUUCUUGUCCAAGAAUAUGCAAAACUUGGCUCACUGGACAUAUACUUGAAGAAAAACAAAAACUUAGUAAAUAUAAUGUGGAAAUUAGAAGUUUCAAAGCAGCUGGCAUGGGCCAUGCAUUUUCUUGAAGAUCGAAAUCUAGCACAUGGUAACGUGUGCCUGAAGAACAUUCUACUGAUCAGAGAAGAGGAUAGGAAGACAGGAAAUCCUGCUUUCAUUAAGCUCAGUGAUCCAGGAAUCAGCGUUGCUGUUCUGCCAAGGGAAAUUCUUUUGGAAAGGAUUCCAUGGGUUGCUCCUGAGUGCCUUGACAAUCCAAAAAUUCUCAACCCGAUGGUAGACAAGUGGAGUUUUGGCACCACCUUAUGGGAAAUAUGCAGUGGUGGUGAUAAACCGCUUAGUGCACUGGAUUCACAAAGAAAAUUGCAGUUUUAUGAAGAUCGACAUCAACUACCCACACCAAAAUGGAUUGAGCUUGCAAAUCUCAUAAACAGUUGCAUGGACUAUGAGCCAGAUUUCAGGCCAUCAUUUCGAGCAGUUAUAAGAGAACUUAACAGCCUAUUCACUCCAGACUAUGAACUACUGGCAGAAAGUGAUUUACUUCCUAAUAUGAGGGUUGGAGCAUUUGGCUUUUCUGGAGGAUUUGAAGACCGAGAUCCAACACAUUUCGAGGAAAGGCAUCUUAAAUUCCUGCAGCAACUUGGCAAGGGCAACUUUGGAAGUGUUGAACUGUGCCGAUACGAUCCAUUGCAAGAUAACACUGGUGAAGUUGUAGCCGUUAAAAAGCUCCAGCAUAGCACUGAAGAGUACUUGAGAGAUUUUGAAAGGGAGAUUGAAAUUCUGAAAUCCCUUCAGCAUGAAAACAUCGUAAAAUACAAGGGAGUGUGUUACAGUGCAGGACGUCGAAAUCUGAGAUUGAUAAUGGAGUAUUUACCGUAUGGAAGUUUAAGAGACUAUCUGCAAAAGAACAAGGAAAGGCUGGACUUUAAAAAACUUUUGCAAUAUGCCACCCAGAUAUGCAAGGGAAUGGAAUAUCUAACAAUCAAGAGGUACAUUCACAGAGAUUUGGCAACUAGGAAUAUUUUAGUUGAAAAUGAAAACAGAGUGAAAAUUGGGGAUUUUGGAUUGACAAAAGUGCUACCCCAAGACAAAGAGUAUUACAAAGUUAAGGAGCCUGGUGAAAGUCCUAUAUUCUGGUAUGCACCAGAAAGUUUGACUGAGAGCAAAUUUUCUGUGGCCUCAGAUGUCUGGAGUUUCGGAGUUGUCGUCUAUGAACUGUUUACAUAUAGUGAAAAAAACAAAAGCCCCCCAUCAGAAUUCAUGAGGAUGAUUGGCAAUGAUAAACAAGGGCAAAUGAUUGUAUUCCAUCUAAUAGAGCUGCUGAAGAAUAAUGGAAGACUGCCACAACCAGAAGGGUGUCCUAGCGAGAUAUAUCUCCUCAUGACGGAGUGCUGGAAUAAUAACAUCAGCCAACGUCCUUCCUUUAAAGAUCUCACUGUAAAAGUUGAACGAACACGGGAUUCUAUGGGAGUAUGAGGGGAGGACAAUUCACAUGUGGACAGAGCUUGUAUUUUACCUGCAGAAUGAAAUGCAUCAUUGCAGAUCUCUUGCUUUGGAAUGAAAAAUUCAAACCUAUAUGUGACAUGUUCAGUUUUUGUGCUAGCCCAAGUUUGCUUGAAUCCUGCGACUUAUGCACUUAGCUAAGGCAGCACAUUGAGUUCUUCAAGCAGCACAGCCAGGGAAGAUGUGAACGAACAUGGUGGAUGGACAAUUCUACAUUCAAAUUGCAGAGAUUUAUGUAUCUUCAUUAUCUAUGAGGAGAGUUCGGAAAUGCACAGAAUAUUUGUACAGUUAGUUACAGACUUUACAUGACCUUUUUCCAAGGGCUUUUAUUGAAUCUAGCACACAUUAAACAUUUGAGUAUGUAUAUUGGUCCUUUUCUGUAAAUUUGCUGAAUUAUAAAAACAUAUUUAAUACAUAUUUGAGCAGAUCAAGGUGUGUACCCGCCAUACUCAUUUAGCAAUAUGGAUGUUAAAACAAGGAUAAGCUUUUCUAUGAGUCAUAAUAAAGGGAACAAGCAUCACCAUUUCACACCUCCCCAAGUGCUUUUACAAGAAUAGGGCAAACAUACUGCCAGAAAGUAGCUGCAUAUAAAUGUUACUACAUGCUUGUCUUGUAUGCCUGCCAAUAAGUGAUUUAACUAUGUACAGGUUUUUGUUGUUGUUAACCUAGCGAUGACUUUUUUGAACAGUUGUAUGACCAUAAGCUGCAGCAAUUUCAGCAUUUGAUGGCAUAGACUGCAUUUGGCUGAACACCAUGUUUUAAGGAUGUGACAAGUUGCAGUGAAGUGGCUUUAGUGGUUUGCAGUCAUUUUGACACUUCGCCUCAACACCAUGGAGAUCAAUACCAGAAACUAGAGAAUUAGGGAAGUAUGAAAGACUGAGAGAUCCACAUCCAACCAAUAAUGACUAAAGAAGGUAUGUUGCUGCCUUACAGAUCUGCUCUGAUGAUGCCUCCCUUUUCUCAGCCCAGGAGGCUAUUGUUUUAGUUGAAUGAGCUCUGACACCAGAAGGAACUGGGGACCAUUUGUAGAUAUAGUCCAGUUGAACUGUUUGUUUGAUCCACCUCGCUAUGGUGUCUUUGCUAGCUUUCUGCCACUUUUUUGCCCAGCAAACUGUUUGUCUUUCUAAAUUCUGUAAUUUUGUCUAAAUAGUGAAUUGAACACCUCCUGAUGUCCAAGUUGUGAAACUCCUCUUUUCAUGGGAGUGGUUAUGAAAAAAGGAUGGCAACACUCUUAGACACUCUUGCGGAAUCCAGAAAAAUAUUGAAAAUGUUAAAUGUUUUUGCUGCCACAGAAAUUCUGCCGUAUGAACAGAGCAGCAGAAUACCAUUAAAAUCAAUGUAAUUGCAAUAAGAAGGCCAUUCUGAGGGACAGAAUAUCUGUGGAAUAUAUGUAAAUGGCUCAAAGAUGCUAGUUGUGAGGGCCUGAAGGACCGGAGGCAGAUCCCAAGAUAUAGACUUUGGACACUUACCUGGAGAAAGUAUAUUAGCUGCAUAUUAAACCUCACAAUCCAUGGGUAAUCAACUAGUAUUUGCACCUUUUAACCCCUUCCCGCCCUAGGAAGUAUGCAUACGUCCCAGUUGCUAACAUGUUAGGGAAACUGGACGUAAGCAUACGUCCUGGCGAUAUCCUGCUCAGUGCGAUGCGCUGCAGGAGAUCGCCGUCGGGGCUCGGCUGUCAGAGGGAAUCUAUGGGGUUGACAUGGGGCAAGGGCUCCCCCUGUUCACCAAUGGAUGCGAUCGCAGGAUUCUGUUGGUUGCCAUGGCAGCAGCCUCUAAAGGUCCAUAGGCUGGAUCGCACAGGCUGUUAAAAAAGCGCAAACUUUGGUCCAAAAUGUAGAAAAAAAAAGAUCAAAAGGUAGCAUGAAUCGCAAAAAUUUUACCAAUAAAAAGUACAGUUUGUACUGCAAAAAAUAAACCCUGAUACAAUGUGGCUGGAUGAAAAAAAAAAUUAUGUCAGAACAUGGCAACACAAAAAAGGGGAAAAAAGGAUUUUGUUCAGAAAAGGAAAAAGAACAUAAAACAGCUAUAUAAAUUGGGUAUCACCAUGAUCAUACCGACCCACAGAAUAAAAAGAACAUAAUUUUUACCAUACAGUGAAUGCCUUAAAAGAAAUAAUUUAAAAAAAACGUCAUAAAUUAUUUCAAUUUUUUUCACAAUAUUUUGGAGUUUUUCACAAAAAAUGCUGCAUGAAUCAGCAAAGAUUUAUUACUUAUAUAAAGUACAGUAUGUCUCCUAAAUAAAAGCAUGUCAAAGCAGAGAGCACUGUGGUCAGACAGAAAGGAAAUUCAAAAAGAAAAGAACUUCCUCUGUAUUAUACAGCAGCUGAUAAGUACUGGAAGGAUUAAGAUUUUAAAAAUAGAAGUCAUUUACAAAUCUGUUUAACUUUCUGGCACCAGUUGAUUUAUAAAAAAAAAAAAAAAAAAAGGUUUUCCACCGGUGUGCCCCUUUAACCCCUUAAUGACGCAGGACGUAUUUUUUCGACCGUACUAACUAUGUAUACCUACGUCCUGCGCCGCCUCCCAAUAUGUGAAGCACACUGAGCGCGCUUCAUACCCAGCAGGUCCCGGUUGCUACAGCAACCAGGACCCGUGGCUAAUACCAGACAUCGCCGUUCGGACUGAUGCCCGGUAUGAACCCUUUAGAUGCUGCAAUCAAAGUUGAUCACUGUGUCUAAAAUGGGAGAAAACUGUUGCUGGUUAGCUCAGUGGGCUGUUCGGGACCGCCGCGGUGAAAUCGCGGCGUCCCGGACAGCUGAGAGGAGAGCGUGAGGCUUCUUACCUUCCUUCCCGUCAUCCAGUUGUCACUCUGCUGCUCCAUGCCUGGCAUAGCAUUGAUCAGUGUCUGCAAUCCAGGUAUUGCAUGUUAUAGUCCCAUAUCAGGGGCUAUAACAUUGCGAGAAAAAAAAAAAGUGUAUAAAAAUUUAUAAAUGUGAUUUCAUAAUAAAUCUUCCAUAAUAAAAGUUUGUAUUAACCCCCUUUUCCCAUUAAAAAAAAAAUGCAAAUAAAAAUAAGCAUAUGUGGUAUUGCCGCAUGCGUAAAUGUCCAAACUCUAAAAAUAUGUUAAUUGAACCGCACGGUUAUUGGCGUACACAUAAAAAAAUUAUGUAUAUCCUGCAAAAUUGUAUAAAAAGCGAUCAAAAAGUCCCAUCAAAAUAAAAAUGGUACCGAUAAAAACUUUAGAUCACGGCACAAAAAAUUAGCCCUCAUACAUCACUGUAUACGGAAAAAUAAAAAAAGUUAUAGGGGUCAGAAGAUGACAAUUUUACACAUACGAAUUUUGGUGCAUGUAGUUAUAAUUCUUUUUUUAAGUAGUAAACAAAAUAAAACCUAUAUAAAUGAGGUAUCCUUGUAACCAUAUGGACUAACAGAAUAAAGAUAAGGUGUAAUUUUUACUGAAAAAGUGCACUGCAUAGAAUCGGAAGCCCCCAAAAGUAAAAAAAAAUAGCUUUUUUGAAUUUUGCCUCACAUAUAUAUUUUUUCUGGUUUCGCUGUAAAUUGUGUGGAGAAAUGAUUGAUGUGAUUAUAAAGUACAAUUGGUGGCGCAAAAAAUAAGCCCUCAUAUAAGUCUGUAGGUGCAAAAUUGAAAGCAUUAUGAUUUUUAGAAGGUGAUGAAGAAAAGAGGAAAAUGCAAAAACAGAAAAACCCGGAGUCCUUAAGGGGUUAAUGUGGCGGUCUUAAAGAGGUAUUCUGGCUUUAGACAUUUUACCCCUUAUCCAAAGGAUAGGGGAUAAGAUGUUUGAUCGCGGGGGUCCCGCCAAUUUCCCUGCAGCAGCACUGGAGACAUGACGUAAUGCCACACCCCCAUUGUGACAUCAUUGUGACCCCCUCUAUUCAGGUCUAUGGGAGGGGGCGUGAUGUGAUGUUACAAGGGGGCGGGGCGUGGCGUUACGUCACAUCUCCAGUCCCAGAAACUUCUGGUUUCCGAGCCUGGAGACGCAGCUCCACACAUAAUGCAGGUGCUGCAGGGAGAUAGCAGGGGGGUCCCAGCGGCGGGUCCCCGUGAUCAGACAUCUUUUCCUCUAUUCUUUGGAUAGGGGAUAAAAUGCCUAAGCCGGAAUACCCCUUUAAGGCCUUUCUCUAAGCCUUACUAAAGGAAGUCUAAAAUUGUUGCUAUGUAAGCUUGUUAAUGUGUAAAUCUAAAAUUGUCCUCUUCUGACCUCUAUAAAUGUUGUUUUUCCCAUAUACGUAGCUGUAUGAGGGCUCAUUUUUGUUUUUGAUGAAACAUUUUUUUAUCACUUUUUAUUAUCAUUAUUAUUAUUAUAUAUAUUUAUUUAUUUUUUUCUGAUAUAUGAUGUGACCAGAAAUAUGCAUUUUUGAUGUUUGGUAUUAUUUACUUUUACACAGUUUACCACGCGGGAUCAAAAACAUAUUUUAAUGGGUCAAUUAUGUGCACAGCGAUACCAGAUAAGUUUUUUUUCAAAUACAUUUUAGGGAGGAGCUUUUAAAUUAUUUUAAAAACUAUUUAAUAUUUUUUAUUUUACUCUUUUAUAUGUUCUCAUAGGGGACUUUUAUAUGCAGUUAAUAGAUUGAAUUCACUGUAUAAUGCUAUGCCUAAUAUAGCCUGGCUAAGCUAGUUUCCAUUAUUGAAUCAGUAAUCCAGCAGAUAAAUCUACCCUCCACCACCAUUUAGCUUAUUGGACCCCCCCCCGCAAAUACGUUCCAGGGGCUUGAUGAGCCCUCUAAGCUAACCAACAUGGGGCAUUUAAAACUUUUAGGUGUCAUGAUUUGCAUUGAUCACGACGUCUAAAGGGUUAUUGAUGAGGAGCUUCGGGAUCGCCAUUCCCAGUCAUUAGCAGUGAGUGUCCAGCUACUGAUAGUAGCCGCCACUCACCGCUAUGUAGUAAGCACAGCUCCUGCACCCGCUUCAUAGUCACUUAACAUAGGCCCUUACAUUAAUGCCCAUAGUGCAUUAAGGUCUGGGCAGCAAGGGUGUAAAUUUACUCCCGAUGUUCUGAUCGGGUUGACCAGAUAGCUCUUCUGGCUGAACAAGAGUUGGUGGCAAACCUGGCCAAAAAUCUAAGUGCACCAGUGAGAGUGGUAGCUUGUAGCUUCUGGGCCCCGAUGCAAAAUCUGCAACAGGGUCCCAUAUGCCAAUUAUAUUACUGGUCUCUAAUGUUCUUUGGGGCACCAGGGCCCCGGUGCGACGGCUACCUCUAUAGCUAUGCCCCUGGCACCAGAUUAAAGAGCCUGCUGAAAAGAUUUUUACAAUUUUUUGACUGAAGAAGGCCAGGCAAAAUUUCUUCUCUAGAAAAUUGUUUUGUAUUUGAGACUCCAGGUCCAAGUCAUUUGUUCAUGUACUUUUUGUCCAUGGGGUCUUUAAGAAAAUCAAUAUCUUCAAAAGUCAUGGAAGAUUUUCUAGAUACUUUUGUUAUAGGGGCAUCAACCUUUUGUUAUAGGGGGCCCAAUCCCAGUUAGAUGACACUUAGGUUAUCUGACCUAAAACUAUGCUUUCUGAAUUAAAGCCUUCAAAGCCUAUUUAUUGCACAUGGAAUACUUAUUUAUGGACUGUAUCACACAGAAUAUCUUAUAUAGUAUUAGGUUCCAUGGGGUCUUCCACCUUCAUCGUUGUUAUAACUGCUUUAACUAGUUUUCAAGCCACUAGAAAUAACUAUUUUCUUGAAGCCUCUCCUUCUCCAAUAACCACAGAAUUAGCAUCAAAGUAACUAUUAGAGAAGAGCAAAGUUACAGUGAUUCGACUCGUCACAAACUUCUCGGCUCGGCAGUUGCUGACUUUAGCCUGCGUAAAUUAGUUCAGCUUUCAGGUGCUCCGGUGGGCUGGAAAAGGGGGAUACAGUCCUAGGAGACUCUCUCCUAUGACUUUAUCCACAUUUUCCUGCCCACCGGAGCACCUGAAAGAUAAACAACUGCCGAGCCGAGAAGUUUGUGACGAAUCAAAUCACUGUAACUUCACUCAUCUCUAGUAACUAUCGCUAAGUAUGCUUUCAUCCUCUGAUACAAUAAUAGCUGAAUAUUCUGCAGAAGGUUAGACCCAUUUCCUUCAGUUGCCUGAGCAAACAAUUGCAUCUAACUGAUUGCACACUCUCCAUGGUGCAUUUUUUGUAGUUUUUAUAGGGAUGACUUCCUCAAAAAAAAAAAAAAAAAUGCAAAAUACCAGAAA